ACAGCCAUUGAUGGAUGCCUUGGCGUCAUGUGGCGAUGAAGGACGCAGUAAGCUGCGAAAAGUUUCGGGGAGCGGCACGCACGCUUUGAUCCGGAAAUAUCCGAAUGGGGAAACCCGGCACCGGUCAAUCGGUGUCACUCCGGCCUGAAUUCAUAGGGCCGGUAGAGCAACACGCGGAGAAGUGAAACAUCUCAGUAUCCGCAGGAAAAGAAAGAGAAUCGAUUCCGUUAGUAGUGGCGAGCGAACGCGGAAGAGCCCAAACCAGGGGGAUUUAUCCCGCUGGGGUUGUAGGACCACGAUGUGGAAAGCCUAGGUUAGAAGAACGUACUGGAAAGUACGACCAAAGAGGGUGACAGUCCCGUAUUUUAAAACCGAAGCAGACCUAGUGGAAUCCUGAGUAGCACCGGACACGUGAAACCCGGUGUGAAGCUACGCCGACCACGGCGUAAGGCUAAAUACACUAUGACGACCGACAGUGAACUAGUACCGCGAGGGAAAGGUGAAAAGCACCCCUGUUAGGGGAGUGAAAUAGUAACUGAAAUCAAUGGCUAACAAAUCAGUAGGAGCUACUAUAUGUAGUGACUGCCUGCCUUUUGUAUAAUGAGUCUGCGAGUUAUUGUCCGUAGCAAGCUUAAGCCGCUAAGCGGCGGAAGCGUAGCGAAAGCGAGUCCAAAUAGGGCGCUAAGUUGCUGGCAAUAGACCCGAAGGGGAGGUGAUCUAACCAUGAUCAGGAUGAAACCUCGGUAAAACGAGUUGGAGGUCCGAACCGGUCAACCUUGAGAAGUUGUCGGAUGAAUUGUGGUUAGGAGCGAAAGACUAAUCAAACCCCCUGAUAGCUGGUUCUUUCCGAAAUAUAUUUGGGUAUAGCGUCGGACGCUGACCUAUGGAGGUAGAGCACUAAAUAAGCUAGGGCUUCUAACGAGGUACUGAACUUAAUUAAACUCCGAAUACCAUAGGGUGUAGUCCGGCAGUCAGACUGCGGGUGAUAACGUCCGUAGUCGAGAGGAGAAUAAUCCAGACCAUCGGUUAAGGUCCCAAAAUAUGGCUCAGUGGAAAAGGAUGUGAUUUUGCUCAGACAAUGGGGAUGUUGGCUUAGAGGCAGCCAUCAUUUAAACAGUGCGUAACAGCUGACCCAUCGAGCGAAAUUGCGCCGAAAAUGAUCGGGACUCAAGCCAUAUACCGAAGCCAUGGGCUUCUCGCAAGAGAAGCGGUAGGAAAGCGUUCCAAUUGCAGCGAAGUGCCAGGGAAACCAAACAUGGAGCGAUUGGAAGUGAGAAUGCAGACAUAAGUAACGAUAAAGCCGGUUAAAAUCCGGCUCGCCGUAAGGAUAAGGUUUCCUGGGCAAGGCUCGUCCUCCCAGGGUCAGUCGGGAGCUAAGGUGAGGCCGUAAGGAGUAACUGAUGCACAGCAGGUUAAUAUUCCUGCACCGAUCUACGACUAUCCUAUAGAUGACGGAUUGAGAAAGUCAACAGACCUGUCUUGACAAGGCACUGCGAAGCCACGGCUUAGCGGGUGUUGAUGGAAUCGGUCCCAAGAAAAGUCUAUAGGGAACUACGUGGGUUGCCCGUACCGCAAACCGACACAGGUAUCCGGGAUGAGUAUUCUAAGGCGCGUGAGUUAAAUCUCUCUAAGGAACUCGGCAAAUUGACCCCGUAUCUUCGGUAUAAGGGGUGCCCCGUGAGGGGCCGCAGCAAAGCGCGUCAACCGACUGUUUAGCAAAAACACAGCUCUCUGCAAAGUCGCAAGACGACGUAUAGGGAGUGACACGUGACCAAUGCGGAAAGGUGAAAGCGUGAGGUGCAAGCUUCGCGUCUAAGCCCCCGUGAAUGUCGGCCGUAACUAUAACGGUCCUAAGGUAGCGAAAUUCCUUGUCGGGUAAGUUCCGACCCGCACGAAUCGUGUAACGAGUUGACGACUGUCUCGGAGAGAGGCUCAGUGAAAUUGUAGUGGCGGUGAAGAUGCCGCCUACCCGCAGCAGGACGGAAAGACCCUAUGCACCUUUACUGUAAGCUGUUAUUGUCGCUUGAUUUUCAAUGCGUAGAAUAGGUGGGAGACUUUGAAGCCUCGCUCCAGGGCGAGGCCGAGUCGAAAUAUGAAAUACCACUCUUUGUUGAUUAGGCGUCUAACCUCGAGCCAUUAUCUGGCCGUGGGACAGUGAUAGCAGGUCAGUUUUUCUGGGGCGGAAUCCUCCAAAAGAGUAACGGAGGAUUACGAAGGUUCCCUCAGCCCGGUCGGUAAUCGGGCUAUAGAGCGCAUGAGUAUAAGGGAGCUUUACUGUGAGACAUACAAGUCGAGCAGUUGCGAAAGCAGGUUCAAGUGAUCCGGUGGUUGAAAGUGGAAUCGCCAUCGCUCAUAGGACAAAAGGUACGCUAGGGAUAACAGGCUGAUCGCGCCCAAGCGUUCACAGCGACGGCGCGGUUUGGCACCUCGAUGUCGACUCAUCACAUCCUGGGGCUGGAGAAGGUCCCAAGGGUUCGGCUGUUCGCCGAUUAAAGUGGUACGCGAGUUGGGUUCAGAACGUCGUGAGACAGU
rnacentral:rRNA from 1 species